CGCCCACGCAGCCCACGUGUGUAAAAUGGUGUCCAUCUCAGCAUAGAUAUUAUCAAGAGUACGGAGUGUCAAGAAGACUUUUAUCGACUUUUAUACCCCAAGUUCCCAACUGGCGCCAACUAGUCAUGAGAUUAUGGUUCCUAUUGUGUUUUGGGGCCAUCAUCCUCCAGUACACGAUAUCACCUGUAUGACCAGAGGAGGAUAAAGGAGGAGCUACUGGUACUAAAACGAGACAGAUUUGUAUCUUAAACUUAUACAGGAAGAGAAUCAACAGAGAGUUUGUGUUAUGUCCGAGACUAUUAUUACUAGAAAUGGAUUCUGGAGACAGGGACAGGAUUGUCAGUCUUAGUAAAAAUGGGUGCAUAGCAUUGUGGGAUGGUAAAGAUGGGACGUGUCUUAAGACUGUUAAUAAUCUUGGAAAUGGAAUGCAUUAUGGAAUAAAGCUGCAGGUGUGGAGUCUAUCAUUGGUAAGCUUCAUUGAGAGGAAGGUUCUGCUGCUCCUGAUUUCAAGUCUCAUUUCACUGGCUCUCUCUCUGACUCAUGGCAGUC